CUUUGCUAGUCCCGCCCACAGUGCCUUUGUUUAUGGCGAUCAGGCCAAAGAAAAAGGAAUGGUUUUUAAAACACUUUAUGUUCUCUUGGAUUUAUCAAAGUUGCUUAAUGCUUACACUGAAAAUUAAACUGAUCUUGGGAGACAUCCAAAUGUUACAGAAUCUUAAUGGAAAUGAUUGCUUGUUAUGUGAAUUUCAGCUUCUCCAAGAACCACAGGUUUGGUGCCCAGCAUAUCUGGCUUCCCAGAAGGCCAAAUGUGAGACAGAUGGGUUGAAGGCAAAAUCAAAGGUUUUAUUCUCAAUGGUCAAAGAGGAUGUCAGCAGAGACUUCACUCCAUAGAACUGACAUGACACAAUUGUGAAAACAUAGCAUAUUGUUUGUUGACAGCUAUUCAAGACUGCCAUGCUAGUUCCUGAUUGGUCCAGCAAGGGUCUGACUAGGAUACACUCCCUGGUUGAUCUUCAUUUUGGCAAGAAGAUUUAAUAAACUGUCAUUGGAUUAUUUUGAA